AGUGAACGCUGGCGGUAGGCUUAACACAUGCAAGUCGAACGGCAGCACAGUGAGAGCUUGCUCUUACGGGUGGCGAGUGGCGGACGGGUGAGGAAUACAUCGGAAUCUACUUUUUCGUGGGGGAUAACGUAGGGAAACUUACGCUAAUACCGCAUACGACCUACGGGUGAAAGCAGGGGAUCUUCGGACCUUGCGCGAUUGAAUGAGCCGAUGUCGGAUUAGCUAGUUGGCGGGGUAAAGGCCCACCAAGGCGACGAUCCGUAGCUGGUCUGAGAGGAUGAUCAGCCACACUGGAACUGAGACACGGUCCAGACUCCUACGGGAGGCAGCAGUGGGGAAUAUUGGACAAUGGGCGCAAGCCUGAUCCAGCCAUACCGCGUGGGUGAAGAAGGCCUUCGGGUUGUAAAGCCCUUUUGUUGGGAAAGAAAAGCAGCAGGUUAAUACCCCGCUGUUCUGACGGUACCCAAAGAAUAAGCACCGGCGAACUUCGU
rnacentral:rRNA from 1 species